AGACUGAAGGUCCUGCCAGGUAACUGAGACGGAAACGCCAAGUCGCUUUGUUCAAAAAUACAGAGGAGUAAAUCUUCCUUCUUUGACUCCAUCUUGGCUAGAAACAAUCCUGGGACGGAGAAGAUGCUUAGUAAUCGUUAUCCUGAAGAUCACUCGGUAUGGCUGCUGAACGAGAGUGGGGACUGCAUUAGGCUUCUUAAACAGCCCAGCAGUCAUAACCGGGGAAGAGUAUUUUCCAAUGGGGAGUGGAAUAAUGCAAACAGUGCCUCUCUCUAGAUGGGAACUUGGCUUCAUGGGACAUUACAGU